rfam:Gossypium raimondii chromosome 2, whole genome shotgun sequence.
AUUCUGUGAUGAGGACACUUUCUUAACAGCAACUUAAAUCAUUCCCAAGCCUCGUAGAAAGUUUUGCCAUCCAUCUGCUUAAAAUUCACAAUAUCGCGCCUAAGUUG